UCAAUUUCAUACAUUCAUCUCAUAUAUUCAACCAUCCGUUUCGAUUUCAAAUUUCAUAUACAAACCGUUAAUCCCAUUUUCAUCACAUAACCAUACAUUCGACAUUCGAAACUGUUCCAUAAGCCAAAAUCUAAUUCCUAUAGCAUUUAACCAAAAUUCCAUUCAUAUUACAACUUAUACAGUAUAUUCAAAAUCUUUUUUUACCUCUUAAUUCUAUCUUCAUAAUAAAUACAUUUCCAAUCAUAAACCAUUACAAAAAGUAUUCAAAAGUUUGAAAGCAUCCACCAAUGCCAAGCCAAUUCCUAUCCAAUACGAGGCAAAGCACUCCAAAGACAGUUCAAGCACCCAUCAAUGCACUUUGAAAGCCAUUGAGUCCAGACUUUUCCAUGACAACAUAACACAACCUGCACAAAGGAAGAACUCAGAGUCAACAUGAUCUAACAAUCAACCUAUAUAUUGUAAUUCAAUCUUAGUUAACCUCCAUUCACCAUAACUGAGGUUUAAAAUUAGAACAAACUUUUCGAACCGACUAACAACAUAUCACAGCAGUCCAUAAUUCAGGUACAAUGGCUAUAACAGAAAAUCAGUUAACAAAGAAUUUAACUUCUAACAUUAAAAUUCCAACUGUUUUUGUUUUUCAAGUGCAACAGUAUAACCUAACAUAUUUCGUCUAACCUACCGACACUUCAAGCCAUGUUAUCAUAACAACAAUCAUGUAUCGUACACAUUACCUAAUUGUUAACCGUCCACAAUAAACCAUUGCUUUCAUCAAUUCACGAUAAACCCACCAUGUAACCUUGACAAGCGAACCUGCAGCUUCACUCCAACACCUAUAACCAAUUUGAAAUAGGAAUUCAUGAGUAAGGGAAAUAGAGUAUAAGUGAAAAUGGAAAAUUCAGCAAAACGCCAACCGAAACCGUAUAACAAAACCAUUAGUCAUAUGCAACUAGUACACCAAAACAAUCACAUUUCAAUUUGAAGUAUUAGCUUACACUGUCAGCCUGCGUAAUUCACGAAACCACAGCAACGCAAACACACAUCCGAACCAUGGAGGAGCAGGGCAUCACCGAGUACAGGAAUAUGUUUCCAAGCAAUUCCAAUGAAAUAAAACCAUCAAUCCUGCACAUUUACCAAAUAGAGUAAUAAAACAAAAGGAAAGGUAACAUUGAGUUCAUAACCUAGUAGAGCUAACAUUGCAACAGACCUAACAUUCAUAAAAUCUACACAAUAAUCAAGCAUCUGUAUUAAUAACCCAUUCCAUCUAACAGUGAACUUCAAAAUUGAUAUUACACUCACAAAAACCAAUCUAAGCGUUUUUUCCAUCUAACAAGCUAACAUCUUGUUAACUUCAUGUUGUACAACAGGGAAACAACUCUACUGGUAACUGAAUCUCCAACUGCAUAUAACUAAAAACGGAAUUCUAACAGAAUUCCAACUAACUUCCUAACCAACUUUCUAACCUCUCAAAACUAACCUGUAACAGAAUUGAAAACUAAAAACAUUCCUCCCAACUGCUUUAUAACAGAACCUCCUUUAACCUCAAUAAGUUCCCAAGAGGAAAAAUCCAUCGCCAGUCUCUAUAUAACCAAAGAGAGAAACCUACAACUUUUUUUUCACGAGAACUGAAUUUACAACCACCAAUUGAAUCCUCUUCUCCCACCAUAUUCCAUCCAUACAACCAACUCCAAUAACUUCACCCUCAACCUUUCAACAUAACCCUCACCCUCGUGCCUCCACAAAACCAACUCUCGCACAACCUCACGAAACAGAAAAACAACGCAAGAAGAAGGAGAGAAGGGAAACAGAAAACGAAAAUUCACAGAAGAAGAACAGAACAGAAGCGAAGCCACGAAAAGAGGUAAUAUAUAAAGGAAGAAGGAAAAAUGUACCAGCGAAAAGGGGGAGCUGCAAACAGAGUCCAUAGCAAGGAAGAGCAAAACCAACAACGCACUCUUCAAUUCAUUGUCACCCUUCGAGGAAUUGGAAACUCAAUGAUCUUCACCUUCCUUCUUUAAACUCUUCGUCACGCACGCAGUUGAAUAACAACAUUGAUUCACUACACAGUGAUAAUAAGGCGACAAGAUUAAUAAGAGAAAUAAAAAUGGUGGGAUAAUCGAAAUAUGAAGGUUGAAGAAUGAAUCACCGGGCGCGACGAACCCGGUACGUUAUCCCUUUCUUCCUUCUUGUUCUUCCUGAUGCAAAUUCAAACUCGGAUUCAAGAUUCAUGGAUGAUUCCUAAUGGAUCGUGUCAAAUCUCUCGAUGAGCGGCGAAGGCGUCACGGCGCCACGGUCGCUAGGAUGGAAUUGUUCGGCAACCAUUUUCUCCUGUCCGCGGGUUCUAGAGAAUAUGUGAGGUCCGAAUAUGGAUAUGCUUGGUGGACCGAUUGUCUCUUUGGAAUUGGUCCUUUUGCCCAAAGAACUUCAUGGUCCAACCAAUUGUUUUUCCAACCCCUCAAAUUAGUCUUCACCCCAUGGCCAAAUGGAUGUUCAUGUUAAUUUCUCUAUUAAUCUCCUCUUAAUUCUUAUUUAACUUAUGUGAAUUUUGAUUGUUUGAUUAACUUCUGAUAUCUUUGUUAUUGUUAGAAUUAAGAUUUUCAAGAUUUUGGUUAUUUAAUUCAGUCUUUGAAAUAUUAGGUUAAUUAGAUUAAUUGGUAAUUAGGAG
rnacentral:lncRNA from 1 species